ensembl:lncRNA
UAUUGUACACCCAGGGGGGUCGUUAUAAUAACUGCCUCUCACUCUAAUUCUCUCUCUCUCUCUCUUGCGUUCCCUCUGUAAUACCCCCUACCAUUCACUCUCUCAUAUCUCAUUAUCGUUCUUUCUCAACAGGCAGCAAACACAAUAAAAACACAAGUGUAUAAUUGUCUCACUAAGCCCUUCCUAGCCAGCUACCCCAGAAACCUAAAACACUUCAUGCGCUAUAUUACGGAACUAACAGCCUCACGUUUGGGUCACAAAGGCAAAUCACAGAAGUUAAAUGUUACCGUUAUUGGGCCUUAAUGCGCUGUCAGGUAACCCACCGUGUCACAGUAGUUUAUCUGAGUCGUAAUUCUUCUUGGUAUAUUUUUCUGACGCCUUGUCCCCUCACUUGAAUUUUUAUUUGCAUUUUUGAGCCGUGAGCUCCUCUUGGACGUGCAAGACACAGGUUUCCUCCCUGAUGACUAUGUGUAUUCCUUGACUGAAACUGGGACGGUUCUUCUUGAGACAGGGUGGGGUCUCUCAUGUCAAACUGAGGGGGUCUGAUGGUGGAGGGGCCUCCGAGCAUUCCUUGCCCAGAUUCUUCAGACGGCUCACGUUGUCUUUUUGCACUGCUUGAUAACCACUAGCAUACACAAAACAAGAACAAAAAAAACAAGCCCGGUCAUUGUUUUGGUCCUGUACUGUCCUGUGCUUAAAAACAGCUUUAUACAACAUAUGACUUUAUUCAAUCUGAAUGGUUAAGUGUGAUGAAUUGAGGGCUGUCGGGAGAUGAGCUCAGGUUCACCUAUCGAACUCUGUUCCCAUGAUGCCAUUCAAACCCCAGAAGUGGUUCAAAUUCUUUACAUCUGUGGCUGAACUCACCAGUGGACAAGAGCAGCACUUUCUUUCUUUCUGUGGUUGUAUGUUUGAGUAUGAGUGUUAGCAGGGAUACUUUGUGGUUGAACUAAACCCAACAGACUAACGGACUGAAACCACAUGGUUGGAAACCAUUGGUGUUUUCUGCCAGUCAAACCACUCCCAGAGGCAAAGCUGUAUUCCCCCCCAUGCGCAAGCUGCUUGAGGUAGCAGUAGAGAGGGUAGUGAUUCAAUAUGCUUUCAAUUAAAAGAAAACGGGAAGGUAAAUGGAAAUGCCUUUAGUGAUUCUUGUUGUAUGUGUCUUUUAGUAUAAUGUAUAUAGACCUUAUUAAAAUAAGUUUUGGGGUCUUGAUAGAUGCAAGCCCCCGGCCAUGUUGGGGGACUUAAAGUCAUAGCAUCUCACACAUCCCUUGGUAACCUUGCGUCAUUGAUACGAGUGGACAAGCCUCCACACCAGCAUCAUCAUCAUCAUCAUCAUCAUCAUCAUCAUCAUCAUCAUCAUCAUCAUCGUCUUUGACAGAGAUUAUAACGUUUGUAUGGAUGAGAAUAUCAUUUGACUUGUUAGUUUAUGCUGCAAUCAUUUUUAGGUUUCUUUUAAUAUUGUGUGGUUCGAAUUUCUCUCUGAACUUGAUGACAAUGUUGGUAUUGAUGUUGUUUUUUUUUGAUUUGUGUUGAUAACAUUCCAAUUAGGUUUGGGUUUUUUAUUGCUUUAGGAUUUGUUUUUGUCUCGUUUUUUUUCUUUUGUUUUGUUUCGGUAGAAAAUUGUAAGAUUUUAUACAUUUAUGUUGUUGUGUGUUCACCUCUUUUCUCUGAGUGUGUUAACAAUUCAUGCUGGUCAUGUACACAUUAAAAAAAAAAACUUGAAAUA